rnacentral:rRNA from 1 species
AAGAGACAGCAGCAGCCACGGGAAUACAGAGGGUGCGAGCGUUAAUCGGAUUUACUGGGCGUAAAGCGUGCGUAGGCGGCUUUUUAAGUCGGAUGUGAAAUCCCUGAGCUUAACUUAGGAAUUGCAUUCGAUACUGGGAAGCUAGAGUAUGGGAGAGGAUGGUAGAAUUCCAGGUGUAGCGGUGAAAUGCGUAGAGAUCUGGAGGAAUACCGAUGGCGAAGGCAGCCAUCUGGCCUAAUACUGACGCUGAGGUACGAAAGCAUGGGGAGCAAACAGGAUUAGAUACCCCUGUAGUCCCUGUCUCUUAUAC